rnacentral:rRNA from 1 species
UACAGAGGUGGCAAGCGUUGUUCGGAAUUACUGGGCGUAAAGGGCGCGUAGGCGGCCUUCUAAGUCAGACGUGAAAUCCCCCGGCUUAACCUGGGAACUGCGUCUGAUACUGGAUGGCUUGGAUUUGGGAGAGGGAUGCGGAAUUCCAGGUGUAACGGUGAAAUGCGUAGAUAUCUGGAGGAACACCGGUGGCGAAGGCGGCAUCCUGGACCAAUAUUGACGCUGAGGAGCGAAAGCCAGGGGAGCAAACGGG